UACAGAGGUCCCGAGCGUUGUUCGGAUUCAUUGGGCGUAAAGGGUGCGUAGGCGGCGGGGUAAGUCUGAUGUGAAAUCCUGGGGCUCAACCCCAGAACUGCAUUGGAUACUGCCUUGCUAGAGUACUGGAGAGGAAACUGGAAUUUACGGUGUAGCAGUGAGAUGCGUAGAGAUCGUAAGGAAGACCAGUGGCGAAGGCGAGUUUCUGGACAGUAACUGACGCUGAGGCACGAAGGCCAGGGGAGCAAACGGG
rnacentral:rRNA from 1 species